rnacentral:rRNA from 1 species
AUCGGAUCUGGGCGGCGCGCGUAGGCGGCUAAUUAAGUCAAAUGUGAAAUCCCCGAGCUUAACUUGGGAAUUGCAUUCGAUACUGGUUAGCUAGAGUGUGGGAGAGGAUGGUAGAAUUCCAGGUGUAGCGGUGAAAUGCGUAGAGAUCUGGAGGAAUACCGAUGGCGAAGGCAGCCAUCUGGCCUAACACUGACGCUGAGGUGCGAAAGCAUGGGGAGCAAACAGGAUUAGAUACCCUGGUAGUCCAUGCCGUAAACGAUGUCUACUAGCCGUUGGGGCCUUUGAGGCUUUAGUGGCGCAGCUAACGCGAUAAGUAGACCGCCUGGGGAGUACGGUCGCAAGACUAAAACUCAAAUGAAUUGACGGGGGCCCGCACAAGCGGUGGAGCAUGUGGUUUAAUUCGAUGCAACGCGAAGAACCUUACCUGGCCUUGACAUAGUAAGAACUUUCCAGAGAUGGAUUGGUGCCUUCGGGAACUUACAUACAGGUGCUGCAUGGCUGUCGUCAGCUCGUGUCGUGAGAUGUUGGGUUAAGUCCCGCAACGAGCGCAACCCUUUUCCUUAUUUGCCAGCGAGUAAUGUCGGGAACUUUAAGGAUACUGCCAGUGACAAACUGGAGGAAGGCGGGGACGACGUCAAGUCAUCAUGGCCCUUACGGCCAGGGCUACACACGUGCUACAAUGGUCGGUACAAAGGGUUGCUACCUAGCGAUAGGAUGCUAAUCUCAAAAAGCCGAUCGUAGUCCGGAUUGGAGUCUGCAACUCGACUCCAUGAAGUCGGAAUCGCUAGUAAUCGCGGAUCAGANUGCCGCGGUGAAUACGUUCCCCGGGCCUUGUACACACCGCCCGUCACACCAUGGGAGUUUGUUGCACCAGAAUAGCUAGCCUACUGCAAAGAGGGCGUUCCACGUGUGGCAUGACUGGGUGAAGUUAACAGGUACCAAA